rnacentral:tRNA from 1 species
CAGGGAGACAACAAAAUGUUAAAUAUUAAUUUUGUCACCUUAGGUCGAUCGGUAUCUCACAUUCUUAAAUUAAUUUAAGGAUUUUAUUUCCUAAGUUUUUUCUAGGUCACACCCAUUACUUUUUCCUGGGCCAUUAGCUCAGGUGGUUAGAGCGCACCCCUGAUAAGGGUGAGGUCCCUGGUUCAAGUCCAGGAUGGCCCAUAUCUCUAUGUUGGGGGUAUAGCUCAGUUGGUAGAGCGCCUGCUUUGCAAGCAGGAUGUCAGCGGUUCGAGUCCGCUUACCUCCACUGAUCACCACCUCUUCCAUAAUUUUAUAGAAGGGAAUUGUUUUGAGUUGUGAUCAAAUUCUGAACGAAUCUAGCUUCCUAAUCAAACUUAUUAAGAUGCUGGACUCAUUGAAUUUAUUUCAUUGUUUUCAGAGAACCUUGACAACUGCAUAGAUUAUUUUUAAAGACAAUAAGCAUCUUUAAUGAUGCAGAUUUAUUAUUUGUGCGAAUGCAUUAAUAACAAUUCUAUUAAGCUGAUGCUUCAAUUUUUGAAGUUAUU